rnacentral:rRNA from 1 species
GGUGCAUGCGUUGGGGAUCGGUUCCUUGUGGUCAUAAACAAAACGACUCUCGGCAACGGAUAUCUCGGCUCUCGCAUCGAUGAAGAACGUAGCGAAAUGCGAUACUUGGUGUGAAUUGCAGAAUCCCGUGAACCAUCGAGUCUUUGAACGCAAGU